UGUUAGUGGAAGCGUCUGGAAAGGCGCGCGAUACAGGGUGACAGCCCCGUACACAAAAAUGCACAUAUUGUGAGCUCGAUGAGUAGGGCGGGACACGUGGUAUCCUGUCUGAAUAUGGGGGGCCCAUCCUCCAAGGCUAAAUACUCCUGACUGACCGAUAGUGAACCAGUACCGUGAGGGAAAGGCGAAAAGAACCCCGGCGAGGGGAGUGAAAAAGAACCUGAAACCGUGUACGUACAAGCAGUGGGAGCACGCUUAGGCGUGUGACUGCGUACCUUUUGUAUAAUGGGUCAGCGACUUAUAUUCUGUAGCAAGGUUAACCGAAUAGGGGAGCCGAAGGGAAACCGAGUCUUAACUGGGCGUUAAGUUGCAGGGUAUAGACCCGAAACCCGGUGAUCUAGCCAUGGGCAGGUUGAAGGUUGGGUAACACUAACUGGAGGACCGAACCGACUAAUGUUGAAAAAUUAGCGGAUGACUUGUGGCUGGGGGUGAAAGGCCAAUCAAACCGGGAGAUAGCUGGUUCUCCCCGAAAGCUAUUUAGGUAGCGCCUCGUGAAUUCAUCUCCGGGGGUAGAGCACUGUUUCGGCA
rnacentral:rRNA from 1 species